rnacentral:rRNA from 1 species
AAUCAACGCUGGCGGCGUGCCUCAGACAUGCAAGUCGAACGAGAAAGUUCCCUUCGGGGAAUGAGUAAAGUGGCGCACGGGUGAGUAACACGUAGGUAAUCUACCUUCGGGUGGGGAAUAACCCAGGGAAACUUGGGCUAACACCGCAUAAUGCAGCGGCACCACAUGGUGACAGUUGUUAAAGCGGGGGAUUUUAGGACCUCGCGCCUGAAGAGGAGCCUGCGGCGGAUUAGCUAGUUGGUAAGGUAACGGCUUACCAAGGCGACGAUCCGUAACCGGCCUGAGAGGGCGGUCGGUCACACUGACACUGACA